rnacentral:rRNA from 1 species
GAGAUUAACCUAAUCGGAUUACUGGGCGUAAGCGCGCGUAGGUGGCUUGAUAAGCCGGUUGUGAAAGCCCCGGGCUCAACCUGGGAACGGCAUCCGGAACUGUCAAGCUAGAGUGCAGGAGAGGAAGGUAGAAUUCCCGGUGUAGCGGUGAAAUGCGUAGAGAUCGGGAGGAAUACCAGUGGCGAAGGCGGCCUUCUGGACUGACACUGACACUGAGGUGCGAAAGCGUGGGUAGCAAACAGGAUUAGAUACCCUGGUAGUCCACGCCGUAAACGAUGUCGACCAGCCGUUGGGUGCCUAGCGCACUUUGUGGCGAAGUUAACGCGAUAAGUCGACCGCCUGGGGAGUACGGCCGCAAGGUUAAAACUCAAAUGAAUUGACGGGGGCCCGCACAAGCGGUGGAGCAUGUGGUUUAAUUCGAUGCAACGCGAAGAACCUUACCUACUCUUGACAUCCUGCGAAUUCGGUAGAGAUACCUUAGUGCCUUCGGGAACGCAGAGACAGGUGCUGCAUGGCUGUCGUCAGCUCGUGUUGUGAAAUGUUGGGUUAAGUCCCGUAACGAGCGCAACCCUUGUCCUUAUUUGCCAGCGCGUAAUGGCGGGAACUCUAAGGAGACUGCCGGUGACAAACCGGAGGAAGGUGGGGACGACGUCAAGUCAUCAUGGCCCUUACGAGUAGGGCUACACACGUGCUACAAUGGUCGGUACAAAGGGUUGCCAACUCGCGAGAGUGAGCCAAUCCCGAAAAGCCGAUCUCAGUCCGGAUCGGAGUCUGCAACUCGACUCCGUGAAGUCGGAAUCGCUAGUAAUCGUAGAUCAGAAUGCUACGGUGAAUACGUUCCCGGGCCUUGUACACACCGCCCGUCACACCAUGGGAGUGGACUGCACCAGAAGUGGUUAGCCUAACGCAAGAGGGCGUCACCAUCGGGGUUAACA